CGGGACACGUGGUAUCCUGUCUGAAUAUGGGGGGACCAUCCUCCAAGGCUAAAUACUCCUGACUGACCGAUAGUGAACCAGUACCGUGAGGGAAAGGCGAAAAGAACCCCGGCGAGGGGAGUGAAAAAGAACCUGAAACCGUGUACGUACAAGCAGUGGGAGCCUCUUUAUGGGGUGACUGCGUACCUUUUGUAUAAUGGGUCAGCGACUUAUAUUCUGUAGCAAGGUUAACCGAAUAGGGGAGCCGAAGGGAAACCGAGUCUUAACUGGGCGUUAAGUUGCAGGGUAUAGACCCGAAACCCGGUGAUCUAGCCAUGGGCAGGUUGAAGGUUGGGUAACACUAACUGGAGGACCGAACCGACUAAUGUUGAAAAAUUAGCGGAUGACUUGUGGCUGGGGGUGAAAGGCCAAUCAAACCGGGAGAUAGCUGGUUCUCCCCGAAAGCUAUUUAGGUAGCGCCUCGUGAAUUCAUCUCCGGGGGUAGAGCACUGUUUCGGCAAGGGGGUCAUCCCGACUUACCAACCCGAUGCAAACUGCGAAUACCGGAGAAUGUUAUCACGGGAGACACACGGCGGGUGCUAACGUCCGUCGUGAAGAGGGAAACAACCCAGACCGCCAGCUAAGGUCCCAAAGUCAUGGUUAAGUGGGAAACGAUGUGGGAAGGCCCAGACAGCCAGGAUGUUGGCUUAGAAGCAGCCAUCAUUUAAAGAAAGCGUAAUAGCUCACUGGUCGAGUCGGCCUGCGCGGAAGAUGUAACGGGGCUAAACCAU
rnacentral:rRNA from 1 species